rnacentral:rRNA from 1 species
UACGUAGGGUGCGAGCGUUGUCCGGAUUUAUUGGGCGUAAAGGGCUCGUAGGCGGCCUGUUGCGUCUGCCGUGAAAUGCUGAGGCUUAACCUCGGACGUGCGGUGGAUACGGGCAGGCUAGAGUCCGGUUGGGGAGACUGGAAUUCCUGGUGUAGCGGUGGAAUGCGCAGAUAUCAGGAGGAACACCGGUGGCGAAGGCGGGUCUCUGGGCCGGUACUGACGCUGAGGAGCGAAAGCGUGGGGAGCGAACAGGAUUAGAAACCCUGUAGUCC